CCCCAAGCUUAGUUUUCUUUUUUGAAAAACUCAAGCUUAUCUGUUUGGCGUCCGACUCCGCCUGCCACGACCAUGAGAUUCGUUUGUUCGUCUAAUUGCGCACGAGGUCUUGCUCGCGGCGCCCCUCUGUCUGGCUCUUUCGUCGUCCUCACUCGCACUGCAACCUGCAGCUGCAGGUGCGGCUGCGCUUUGCCAAGGAGGAAAACGAGAUGUAUAUGGCUACAUGCUAAUAUGCAUGCCAGAGAUGAACGUCGGUCACAGCGAUCCGGCAAUCCCGUGUAGAAGGGCUCUUGCUCAAUGGAUCGAAGGCACGCCGGGGAUAACAUGCUAAAGACUCGCUCUUAUCGACGGGUUCGGUUGUUCGCCGAUGAAAGUGGUAUGUGAGUUGGGUGUAGAGGUCGUCCGGCUGGGCGAUUCGGGCGUCUCCCCGUCCCCUCGCCUCGUCUGCCGCCGUGCGAACUAACAAGAUCCCUGCAAAGGAACCACCUAAAGGAUCCGCGUUAAAAGAAGUGAGAGAUAAGUUCUUCCCAUACUACAAAUCCGUGUUGCCUGCAGGUGAAGACAGUUUCACCUUGUGAAUCAAGCAGGAAGGACUUGCAAUCCCCAAACAAAUCAACGGGGAAUCUUGUUUGGAUGUCAAGGUCCCGCUUUUCGAUGUCAAGGUCCCGAUUGGCGAGCAAUUAUGAAUGCAGGAGGCGGCUUUGUGCUGUUGCUUCGAUGUCCCUGAAGGUGUUCACACGCACAUGAGUGGAGAAAUCUAUGGAUGAAUGAAACAGAUGGACAAGGAUCAUCUCUCUCUGGUGCCAAACAUAUACUGUUACAAGCAGUUAAGAGUUUUAUGAAAUAAAAGAACUGAAGCUUCAAUGCAUUUGGAUUCGACAAGCAUGGUUCAUAUGAAGCCUCUCACCUGACCAAGUGCUGCAAUGCAAUUAUAAAUGGAAAUUACUUGAGCUUGUGAGGCUAUUGUGCCCGACUCAGGCGCUCUUCAACUAGGCCUUUGAGCUAAUGUCUGGAAUUGUCUCAGAGAAUAUGAGAGUCUCAAAUCAACUGCAUUCGGAAUGCGACAUCCCGUUGGAUGAUAUCACUAACUCAAUCAUGCAUGUGGACUUCUCGGAUGUCAAACCAGCUCAGGAGGCAGAAGCCUGCCCUCCAGUUUUCACAGGAUUAGGGCUUGUAAAAUUUCGAGAAUUAUACUCCUAGAUAUCUUGUCAGAUCAUUUUCUUGAUUUGUUGUAAUUUUUUCAAUCUUUUUCUAACCUGCCUUUUUUAUUCUCCUAGAAAAGACCUUACCUUUUUAAGUAAGCAGAUGAUUGUUUGUAGGGCAACAAUCAAACCGAUGUUUUACCCAAGGGCAGUAAGGUGGGGGAGAUCUAGGCAAAUGGGCAUGCUACUAGUAGCC